GAUUUCUGGGAUUUUGGCCUUGGUCCGCCGGUUUACGCCGGUUGUGUUUGCCGAGGUUGGGUCUCAUCCUCCCGGAGUGCCUAGCCUGCCCUUUACUGGGUUGGGCUAGUGUGUUCUGGGACAUUUACUUUGAAAAAAUUAGAGUGUUUAAAGCAGGCUUUUGCUAUGAAUACAUUAGCAUGGAAUAAUAAUCUAGGACUUCGGUUCUAUUUUGUUGGUUUCUAUAACUGAAGUAAUGAUUGAUAGGGAUAGUUGGGGGUGCUAGUAUUGGCCGGCCAGAGGUGAAAUUCUUGGAUUCGGUCAAGACUAACUUAUGCGAAAGCAUU
rnacentral:rRNA from 1 species